UGCAGAAACGAAGACCAACCCGACCAGAAGUGUUAUGAUUAUCGCGUUCGUUUCAGCUGCCCUGCCUCUUUCUGUGAUAGAGAUGGUAAUCUUCUGUCCAAGCAAAGGAUUCAUUUUCCGGACCGAGGACCAGGAAUGUGAUAAAUGCCUCGACUACAAAGUCCGGUUUGGGUGCUCGUGCUAGAAAAAAGCCCAGACUCUACCACAAUCACUGGGGAGAAGAGUCAUUAUUUCAAUUUUGAUCACUUGAAAUUUUGUCUGAUUUUUCUUUCAUGUUAAAUUUACUUUCAUAAUGUGCCAGUUGGAGGAAGUACAAUAGACCUUUUUCGAUCUUAAAAGAAUUUAUUCGGAAGUGUGGUGUGUUUACGACAGAUGAUCUGAGCAGUAUCUACGUAGUCAGUAGGAGGUACUGGAAAGCAGUUCAAUGGUAAUUUUAUAAUUUAAAAUACAGAUUUAGUUUGCAGUAAAGUAAAUGUAUACACUCAAUCUUAUAAAAUGCGUGUUUAUGUGGGAUUAGGGAUUGUUAGACUCAGAAUAAUAUGAAUAUAAUGAUGAUUUAAUAAAAGCAAUCAUGCAA